rnacentral:rRNA from 1 species
CCUACGGGGCGCUGCAGUGGGGAAUAUUGGGCAAUGGGCGAAAGCCUGAUCCAGCCAUGCCGCGUGUGUGAAGAAGGCCUUCGGGUUGUAAAGCACUUUCAGUGGGGAAGAAAGCCUUGGGGCUAAUACCCUCGAGGAAGGACAUCACCCACAGAAGAAGCACCGGCUAACUCCGUGCCAGCAGCCGCGGUAAUACGGAGGGUGCGAGCGUUAAUCGGAAUUACUGGGCGUAAAGCGCGCGUAGGCGGUCUGAUAAGCCGGUUGUGAAAGCCCCGGGCUCAACCUGGGAACGGCAUCCGGAACUGUCAGGCUAGAGUGCAGGAGAGGAAGGUAGAAUUCCCGGUGUAGCGGUGAAAUGCGUAGAGAUCGGGAGGAAUACCAGUGGCGAAGGCGGCCUUCUGGACUGACACUGACGCUGAGGUGCGAAAGCGUGGGUAGCAAACAGGAUUAGAUACCCGUGUAGUC